GCAGCGCGGGGCAACCUGGCGGCGAGUGGCGAACGGGUGAGUAAUAUAUCGGAACGUACCCUGGAGUGGGGGAUAACGUAGCGAAAGUUACGCUAAUACCGCAUACGAUCUAAGGAUGAAAGUGGGGGCUUCGCAAGAACCUCAUGCUCCUGGAGCGGCCGAUAUCUGAUUAGCUAGUUGGUAGGGUAAAAGCCUACCAAGGCUUCGAUCAGUAGCUGGUCUGAGAGGACGACCAGCCACACUGGAACUGAGACACGGUCCAGACUCCUACGGGAGGCAGCAGUGGGGAAUUUUGGACAAUGGGCGCAAGCCUGAUCCAGCAAUGCCGCGUGAGUGAAGAAGGCCUUCGGGUUGUAAAGCUCUUUUGUCAGGGAAGAAACGGUGAAGGCUAAUAUCCUUUGCUAAUGACGGUACCUGAAGAAUAAGCACCGGCUAACUACGUGCCAGCAGCCGCGGUAAUACGUAGGGUGCAAGCGUUAAUCGGAAUUACUGGGCGUAAAGCGUGCGCAGGCGGUUUUGUAAGUUUGUCGUGAAAGCCCCGGGCUCAACCUGGGAAUUGCGAUGAAGACUGCAAGGCUUGAAUCUGGCAGAGGGGGGUAGAAUUCCACGUGUAGCAGUGAAAUGCGUAGAGAUGUGGAGGAACACCGAUGGCGAAGGCAGCCCCCUGGGUCAAGAUUGACGCUCAUGCACGAAAGCGUGGGGAGC
rnacentral:rRNA from 1 species